rnacentral:rRNA from 1 species
AUGAAAGGCGACAGCACACCUAAUUUUGUCAGGCCAUUUGUCUUAUACACCAUAGGCAAAUAUGUAUGCCCGACAACACAACAGUAUGUGGACAACAGAUACCUUGGGAUUGUUAGAAACGUUGAGACAAUAAAGAGCACCAAUUUUGGACAGCUUACGCUUGACCAUCUUAUGGCUAGCGUCAGGAAAUUUGUAAAUGGUGGAGCAAAUCUGGAGGGAAACCUACCACUACUGCAGACGUGGUACUACGAGAAGUGGAGGGUGCACCAAUUGGACUCUGCCAUCUCAUAUGCCUCAGGGGUUGGAGAGUAUGUCGAUGACCUGCUGCGGCCUUUCAAUCUGCCACCAGUUGGGAAGCCGGUCAAACCAAAGAAUGACGGCCAGGAUCCUCUGAAUUUGAGGCACAAUGAGAAUGUGCGAAAGACUGAAGAAAGAAGAAAUCAAGAUGAUGAAGAUGUCAGUAUUGAGGUGGGUUCAGAGGCAGGUACCAACAGCAACCACCGGUCUGCCAAGGCUAAGGGAAUAAGGGAGCCGGAAGAGCCCCAUGUCUUCCCAGUUGAUGAGGACAACUAUGAUGAUUUUUUAGCAAAGCAGCAACAAGAUAGUGGGGUUGAUUCCAUGCUACCAACUCGUGCGAGCAGCUGGAAAAGAGUGGCAUCUUCAUUAUUGUGCAAUGAAGAUUUUGUUCUGUACGAUAGUGGUAAGAAGAGAAAGAAAAACAGGACUCCAUCGGAGUCUACCAACGAUUCCAAGGACACAAAGAAUACAAAGAGGAAAAACCGUGCAAGCAAUUUAAAAGAUACAGACACAAGUGCUUCGACGCUGGAGACCAACCUUGACAAGUUUCGACAGAGUUAUGUGGCCGAAAUUAUCAACACCUUAGAUCUUGAUAAACAAUUGGUGGUAAUUGAUGACAUUCUUCAGCAACAGAAGCAUUUGCAAUGCCUCACCAUGACAGAUGUAGGCGAAGAUGACAAAUGGUUGGGUGACGAAAUCAUGCAUCAUGAUCAUCCUAAUGACAUAAGGGAUGGGCAGCUGGUUUACAUUGAGAGGGUGGCCGGCGUCGCUAUGCUCGAAAGAGAUGGUAAGGUAGAGAACUGCCACGAGGCCGCUUUGGCGGGCAGUCAUGGAACAACAAAAGGAGACAACUACCUCAGACAUGAUCUGGUUUUUCUGCCUACGAACAUGGCGAACACCCACUGGUUCCUUGUGGUCGUAAACCCCGGAAGGAGGGAGAUUCAGAUUCUUGAUUCACUUUUAGGCUACCUAGAUUGCACACAAGUGGUUCACGUGGAUGCUUCUUUGUCGCCAUAUGAGGAGUUCAUAAAGGGAUUAAACACGCAGCAAAGGAUGUACAUCCAGUUGAUAGCACUGGGUGGACUUCUCAAGACACCUAGCAUCAAAUUAAGACGUGUAUUGUGCAUGGCCAUCGCUAAUUCAUAUGAUGCAGAGCAGGAUGCCUUUAUCAUCAACGGGACACCAUGAUUGCUAGCCAAGAUGAAAGGCGACAACACACCAAAUUUUGUCAGGCCAUUUGUCUUGUACACCAUAGGAAAAUAUGUAUGCCGAACAAAAGAGGAGUAUGUGGAUAACAAAUAUAUUGGGAUUGUUAGAAACGUUGAGACAAUAAAGGGCACAAAUCUUGGACAGCUAACGCUUGACUAUCUUAUGGAUAGCGUGAAGAAUUUUGUAAAUGGCGAGGCAAUUCUGGAGGGGAAUCUAGCACUGCUGCAGACAUGGUACUACGAGAAGUUCGGAGUGCACCAAUUCGACUCUAGCAUCUUGUAUGAAUCAAGGUUAAGGCCGCUGAUCCAGAACUGGAGUGAGGAGAAGGAAAAAAAGGUUGACAAUAUAAUCCAGAAUAAUUAUCUGGGAGUUGGAGAGCAUGUUGAGGACCUGAUGAGGCCUUUCAUUCCAGCACGAGAUGGUACGCUGGCCAAACCGAAGACUAGCGCUCAGAUGAAGGUACUCGUCGGACAUGUAUUGACUGAUUUGCAAGAAGUUGCCUCCCUCGUGCGGGAGGCUGGUGCACAACAAGUUGAUAGGAUGUGCACCCUUGAAAAGAAAAUGGAUGAGUGCCUUAGGCGUACCCAUACAAAUGGCAAGCUCACAGAGGACCUCAUCAAAGAAUUGAACGAUGAAGCAUUAGAAAGAGCUGAAAGAAAACUCAAACAGGAUCUCAGUGGUAUUCAUAAGGUUUUGAAAGAGGUGGAUGAUAUCCAGGGUGCUCCUAGUUUGGAUAAGCAAAUGCAUUCCAAAGCCACCACAAGCCUUGAAGAAUUCCAGAUUAUGUUCAACAUAUGGAGUAAGCAGCACUCUGUGAAGGCUAAGGGAUCGCGACAGCCCAAAGAGCCCCGUGCCUUCGCAGAUGAUGACAGCCAUGAUGAACCCUUUCGAAAGCAGCAAGACGUGGUUGAUGCUGCGAUCCAGCUCAUGCGUCGUGAUGACCCAAUUGACACAAGGGACGGACAACUGGUUUACAUUGAGAGGGUGGCCGGCAUCGCUAAGCUCGAAAGAGAUGGUAGGAUAGAGGAGUGCUACGAGGACGCUUUGGCAGGCAUUCCUGGAACAACACAAGUCACCAGCUACCUGAAACAUGAUAUGGUUUUCCUACCUACGAACAGCCAAAACGUCCACUGGUUACUUGUGGUCGUAAACCCCAGAAGGAAGGAGAUUCAGGUACGUGGGAUGGAAGCACAUCUGAGAGCAGCGAGGCGAGUCAAUGGGAUAGAAAGCAAUGCAUGGGAAGACAUUAACGUGACGCAAUGGCCAGUACGGAACAUUAAAGUGCCAAAAUCCAAUGAAACUUCAUGUUGUGCACUGUACAUGCUGAAGAACAUCGAAUUAUUUAUGGGACUAAAACUGAGCAAGCAAUAUGAUGAAGCGUACAUCGAGAAAUUCAGAAAAGAGCUACCUGCUGUGCUUGUGGAUUCACCCUACAACAAAAUGAAGUACAGGAAUAUGUUCAAGCAGUACCAUGCUAGGCUAUCGGAUGCAGCUGCGGUUGAAGACGACAAAGAUGCAAGCAGUUAG